AUCUGCCUUUGAGCGGGGGACAACAUUUGGAAACGAAUGCUAAUACCGCAUAACAACUUUAAACACAAGUUUUAAGUUUGAAAGAUGCAAUUGCAUCACUCAAAGAUGAUCCCGCGUUGUAUUAGCUAGUUGGUGAGGUAAAGGCUCACCAAGGCGAUGAUACAUAGCCGACCUGAGAGGGUGAUCGGCCACAUUGGGACUGAGACACGGCCCAAACUCCUACGGGAGGCAGCAGUAGGGAAUCUUCGGCAAUGGACGAAAGUCUGACCGAGCAACGCCGCGUGAGUGAAGAAGGUUUUCGGAUCGUAAAACUCUGUUGGUAGAGAAGAACGUUGGUGAGAGUGGAAAGCUCAUCAAGUGACGGUAACUACCCAGAAAGGGACGGCUAACUACGUGCCAGCAGCCGCGGUAAUACGUAGGUCCCGAGCGUUGUCCGGAUUUAUUGGGCGUAAAGCGAGCGCAGGUGGUUUAUUAAGUCUGGUGUAAAAGGCAGUGGCUCAACCAUUGUAUGCAUUGGAAACUGGUAGACUUGAGUGCAGGAGAGGAGAGUGGAAUUCCAUGUGUAGCGGUGAAAUGCGUAGAUAUAUGGAGGAACACCGGUGGCGAAAGCGGCUCUCUGGCCUGUAACUGACACUGAGGCUCGAAAGCGUGGGGAGCAAACAGGAUUAGAUACCCUGGUAGUCCACGCCGUAAACGAUGAGUGCUAGAUGUAGGGAGCUAUAAGUUCUCUGUAUCGCAGCUAACGCAAUAAGCACUCCGCCUGGGGAGUACGACCGCAAGGUUGAAACUCAAAGGAAUUG
rnacentral:rRNA from 1 species